ensembl:lncRNA
GAUCUGAAGCUAUUGCCUAGACCGAGCCCCCCCAAUCCCCUCCCACCCCCUGUGAAGGACUGUUUGGGCUUAACCCAGAACAGCUGAGAUACGUGACGGAGUGGGGGUGGGGGGUGUUUUGUUUGUCUAAACCACAGUUCAGUGUAUUAUGUACUCUAGGAGGGGGAAAAGUGGAUGAGCAGUUGUGCUCAAAAGCAUUUAUGCUUUUAGAGUUGUUUGUGGGUUGUUUYUAAAACUCUUUGGUAUUUUCACACGAGUCCUCCAAAUCAUCCCCGUGUCUUCAGGCAGGGAGCAGCUGAAGAGGUUUCCCCAGCCAGACCACAGCCCUUCAGAAGCUGAAGGGGGUCAGAGCUUGCAAAGUAGUCCCGAGCCUGGGUUUUGUUGUUCUCGGGUUUUUUUUGCUUGUUUGCAAGUUUGAGGGAAAGGGGGAAAAAACAGUGGAUGUCCUGUUUAGCAACUAGUAAUGUUAUUUGGCAUAGGGUUUAGGUUUAGUUGUGAUUGUCAGCUGGUUAAGUUUUCUGUAUCUUUCUUUUUUCUUUUUUUUUCCCCCUCUCUUUCUCUUUUUGUCUCAAGUAUGUGGAAGGCUCAUUUGAGAAGUACCUGGAACGACUGGGAGAUCCAAAGUGGUUGAAGGAUGGAGAAGAGGUGAAACAACUAGAAGCUGUGUAUAGUGGAAACGCCGUGUGGUAGUUAUAAGCAUGGCUAAAACUCGCAUGUGCGUUCUUGAAAGCUCUAGUAGUGAGGACUGCUUGGUGUGUAAACUCUGAAAUUUGUUUGAAACGUAACAUAAGCUUGCUGCAGGUGCUGGCUGUCUUGCUAAAAAUGCUGCUUUUUGCUGAACAAACAGUCUGACUCUCCAGUGGUAGAAAGAACAACCCUCCCUUUGCAAACUGGAUCUGUUCCAGUACUAAAUGAACAAAUUGGACCUUCCCAAGWGUUGCUAGCUUCCUCUACUGAGGCUCUAAUCCUUUCACAGGAGACUAAAUCUCUUAACCUUAACUGUCCCACUGGCUGAGCAGCCUGUCAUAAGUAUAAAUAUCUGAACUAAUAUAACGCAUGCUUUUGUUGUCUGUGACUGGAUGUAACUGACUUUCUCGGACACCUCUCUUUCCAAGAUGAGUGUAGUUUGCUCAUCUAGCUAUUGCUUUAUGAUAGCAUUAAUUUAUCAGAGAAAGUAUUYUGCUUGCUUUCUAUAAACCAACAGUGGAUUCUCCAAACAGCUCCUUUCAAACUUCUUCAUAACAUGGUUCUACUGAAAGUGCAGUCUUUCAAGUCUUGUUUUUCCUCUGCUUACCUAGUCGAGACUUUAUUCUGUACCGGUACCCUGGAAAGCCACCCACUUAUGCUACAGACAAUGGCUUUGAAGACAAGGUGAGGAGAAGUGAGGCGCCUUCCGACCCCUUCCCUGACUCCUCGGAGUCUGUAUCGCUUGCGUACCUGAACAGAGCUCCAGAGCUGGCUUCAGCUCAGGGAUAAGCAGGCUAUUUGCACAACAGUUAAUCAAAUUACAGUAGUUUCCCAUUCCAUCUGAGGAACGGCUUGUGUGCUGUUGCCCUGCCAAUUUUGUUUGUUAUUCAAGUUCAUUAUUGGAAACAAGUUUAAUUUUGGCAGGAAGAGGGAGCUUUUAGUUC